AGUAAACGCUGGCGGUAGGCCUAACACAUGCAAGUCGAACGGCAGCACAGUAAGAGCUUGCUCUUACGGGUGGCGAGUGGCGGACGGGUGAGGAAUACAUCGGAAUCUACUUUUUCGUGGGGGAUAACGUAGGGAAACUUACGCUAAUACCGCAUACGACCUACGGGUGAAAGCAGGGGAUCUUCGGACCUUGCGCGAUUGAAUGAGCCGAUGUCGGAUUAGCUAGUUGGCGGGGUAAAGGCCCACCAAGGCGACGAUCCGUAGCUGGUCUGAGAGGAUGAUCAGCCACACUGGAACUGAGACACGGUCCAGACUCCUACGGGAGGCAGCAGUGGGGAAUAUUGGACAAUGGGCGCAAGCCUGAUCCAGCCAUACCGCGUGGGUGAAGAAGGCCUUCGGGUUGUAAAGCCCUUUUGUUGGGAAAGAAAAGCAGCAGGCUAAUACCCCGCUGUUCUGACGGUACCCAAAGAAUAAGCACCGGCUAACUUCGUG
rnacentral:rRNA from 1 species